UCCGGUUUGUCACCGGCAGUCCCAUUAGAGUGCUCUUUCGUAGCAACUAAUGGCAAGGGUUGCGCUCGUUGCGGGACUUAACCCAACAUCUCACGACACGAGCUGACGACAGCCAUGCAGCACCUGUGUCCCGGUUCCCUUUCGGGCACUCCCACCUUUCAGCGAGAUUCCGAGCAUGUCAAGCGUAGGUAAGGUUUUUCGCGUUGCAUCGAAUUAAUCCACAUCAUCCACCGCUUGUGCGGGUCCCCGUCAAUUCCUUUGAGUUUUAAUCUUGCGACCGUACUCCCCAGGCGGUCUACUUCACGCGUUAGCUUCGUUACCAAUCAGUAACCUGACCGACAACCAGUAGACAUCGUUUAGGGCGUGGACUAC
rnacentral:misc_RNA from 1 species